rnacentral:rRNA from 1 species
GAUGAACGCUGGCGGCGUGCCUAAUACAUGCAAGUCGAGCGAACAGACGAGGAGCUUGCUCCUCUGACGUUAGCGGCGGACGGGUGAGUAACACGUGGAUAACCUACCUCUAAGACUGGGAUAACUUCGGGAAACCGGAGCUAAUACCGGAUAAUAUAUUGAACCGCAUGGUUCAAUAGUGAAAGACGGUUUUGCUGUCACUUAUAGAUGGAUCCGCGCCGCAUUAGCUAGUUGGUAAGGUAACGGCUUACCAAGGCAACGAUGCGUAGCCGACCUGAGAGGGUGAUCGGCCACACUGGAACUGAGACACGGUCCAGACUCCUACGGGAGGCAGCAGUAGGGAAUCUUGCGCAAUGGGCGAAAGCCUGACGGAGCAACGCCGCGUGAGUGAUGAAGGUCUUCGGAUCGUAAAACUCUGUUAUUAGGGAAGAACAAAUGUGUAAGUAACUAUGCACGUCUUGACGGUACCUAAUCAGAAAGCCACGGCUAACUACGUG